rnacentral:rRNA from 1 species
UGCCAGCCGCAGCGGUAAUACGGAGGGGGCUAGCGUUGUUCGGAAGAACUGGGCGUAAAGCGCACGUAGGCGGUCAUUUAAGUAGGGUGUGAAAUCCCCCGGCUCAACCGGGGAACUGCGCUCUAAACUGGAUGGCUUGAGUAAGAUAGGGGUGUGCGGAACUUCCGGUGGAGCGGUGAAAUGUGUUGAUAUCGGAAGGAACACCAGUAGCGAAAGCGGCACACUGGGUCUUAACUGACGCUGAGGCACGAAAGCUAGGGUAGCGAACGGGAUUAGAUA